rnacentral:rRNA from 1 species
UGGGGAAUAUUGCACAAUGGGCACAAGCCUGAUGCAGCCAUGCCGCGUGUGUGAAGAAGGCCUUCGGGUUGUAAAGCACUUUCAGCGAGGAGGAAGGGUAGUGUGUUAAUAGCACAUUGCAUUGACGUUACUCGCAGAAGAAGCACCGGCUAACUCCGUGCCAGCAGCCGCGGUAAUACGGAGGGUGCAAGCGUUAAUCGGAAUUACUGGGCGUAAAGCGCACGCAGGCGGUUUGUUAAGUCAGAUGUGAAAUCCCCGCGCUUAACGUGGGAACUGCAUUUGAAACUGGCAAGCUAGAGUCUUGUAGAGGGGGGUAGAAUUCCAGGUGUAGCGGUGAAAUGCGUAGAGAUCUGGAGGAAUACCGGUGGCGAAGGCGGCCCCCUGGACAAAGACUGACGCUCAGGUGCGAAAGCGUGGGGAGCAAACA